GUCGCCUCCGUGCUGACGGCGCGGCCCUCCCGAGACCGUCGACCCCGAGGGGCUGCGGGUGGGUUAGUAACCAGCCCCUCCUGGGACUGCCGGGCCGGGCGCCCUGACCGCCUUCCCCACCCCUAUGGCUUCAGAAAGCCCGGGUCAGAGCCUGGACUGCGCAAGAGGGAGGGAGUGUCCGGGGAGCCGCCCAGCUUUGGGUUGGAAGCACCAAGUCUAAAAAUACAUUCGUUUUAAAGAAUAGGGUCUUUAUUCCAUUUUCCCCGCCCGCCCUACAGCAAGCCUCCUGCCUGGUUAUUUGAGACCGUAACUCAUCCCGUGUGCUGAUAAGUGCGCAGCUUAUCAGAGCCUUCUAGACAGGGACGGGGGGUGGGGUGGUUGUGGGGGCGCCCACCGCACUUGUCUUGAGGAAAUGAAAACAAGAGUUUGAAAUGCCCUGACCGGGUCCGCAAAAUGUCUCAUUUUCCCCUCUAAAACGAAGGGUUUGGGUCCCAUCACAAGGCCCUGCCCCACUCUGCGUGUUUGGCUUCCGGAAACCUGCCCGCGGCCUUACGAGUCGGGAGUCAGGCUGUGAACUGAAAUAGAUCCAAAGGUUCUUCCUGGGUGCCCGGGAAGAGCACUGGUGCUGAUGGCUAACCGAUACUGGGCUCAGGAGCAGCAGCAUCACAUGUAAGGACCAGGUCAUCCCCACCAGGGACAGGAACACUCCCAAGGUCCAGAGUGGUAUCGGGAAGUCAACCUGACCUUGGGCGACCUCUGAGAGCCGGGGAUCCACCAGCAAGAAAGGCAGUAUAUGAAUUUCCUGGGACUGCUGGAGCAAAUCACCACAAAUUGGGCCACUUAAAAUAAAAAGAAUCUGUUCUUUCAAGGUUCUGGAAA